AUCUCUCUGAAACUCCGGAGCGUCUUUUUACUUGAACUGGUUUUUGGCUCGACUAAACUCUAACAAUGACCCAUUGGCCAAAACAAUCUAAGGAGUCCAGGAAACCGAAGAAACGUGACAAGAAGCGGACAAGGGCGUUUUCAAACUAUAUCUAUAAGCUUCAGAAAGAGGGUAGCCAUCCGAACGUGGACGUUACGGUGUUCCUGCCUAAAGGAGACGUUUCACGUGUUGCUGAGUUGGUUGGUGCUGAAGCAGCCCGGCUGUCGAAGUUCAACAAGCGGGGUGCCAUAACGCAGCGAGAGGUUCUCUCGGCACUGCAACGACUUCAGUGGGGGAAGGACGUUCACACCGCCCGAACAUGAGAUUUCAUGUCUAAUGUUUUUUAUAAAUGUUUCAGUGAUGUACAUUUUAUUUAGUGUUCAAUAAACGUCAAUAUACUUUUAAA